CCUCCCAGUGGCCGUCCCCUCUUCACCUCUUAGUGUCUUCCACCCGGAUUGGCCCGUCGGCGGUGGGCCUUGGAGCCGAAAGGAGGGGCUGCGCCCCUCUUCUUCUCGCCGGUGUGGCGGGAUCAAGCUCCGGCGACUACCGAAACAAGCCGACGAUGAGUCCCACGGAGUCCCAUCUAGAUCCAAACAAAAUUUUAAAAAAGAACACGGAAAAAAGAGAGGGGCGGCGGUUCCCGCGGCGAUGCCCUCGUUUUCCCUUGCGGUUGCCACACGCAGCCGUCCAGGCAGGU
rnacentral:lncRNA from 1 species